GCCUCAGCUUGCUGGGGUACUCGAGUGGCGAACGGGUGAGUAACACGUGGGUGAUCUGCCCUGCACUUCGGGAUAAGCCUGGGAAACUGGGUCUAAUACCGGAUAGGACCAUCGUUUAGUGUCUGUGGUGGAAAGUUUUUCGGUGUGGGAUGAGCUCGCGGCCUAUCAGCUUGUUGGUGGGGUAAUGGCCUACCAAGGCGUCGACGGGUAGCCGGCCUGAGAGGGUGUACGGCCACAUUGGGACUGAGAUACGGCCCAGACUCCUACGGGAGGCAGCAGUGGGGAAUAUUGCACAAUGGGCGCAAGCCUGAUGCAGCGACGCCGCGUGGGGGAUGACGGCCUUCGGGUUGUAACUCCUUUCGUCAGGGACGAAGCGAAAGUGACGGUACCUGGAUAAGAAGCACCGGCUAACUACGUGCCAGCAGCCGCGGUAAUACGUAGGGUGCGAGCGUUGUCCGGAAUUACUGGGCGUAAAGAGCUCGUAGGUGGUUUGUCGCGUCGUUUGUGGAAUACCGCAGCUUAACUGUGGGGUUGCAGGCGAUACGGGCAUAACUUGAGUGCUGUAGGGGAGACUGGAAUUCCUGGUGUAGCGGUGGAAUGCGCAGAUAUCAGGAGGAACACCGAUGGCGAAGGCAGGUCUCUGGGCAGUA
rnacentral:rRNA from 1 species